ensembl:processed_transcript
GAACCUUGAAGGGGAAUGCGUCAGCCGGGCACUCUCAGGGUCUUAAUGGACUCAUUUGUACUUACAAGAAUGGGCGGGGACCACUAAAGAAGUCUCAAACAAGACUUCUCUGCUCAGCGAGUAAAAACAGACCGAGGGGAACCCCAAGUCGCUGUGCGAGAGGAGCUACCUUUAAUGCAGCUCCUGUGGAGGGAAGACCUUCAUCCUGGAGGAUGCUCUGCUUGACGUGGAUGCUACCCAUCAGAAGCCCUAGCAAGUCUGUUUUCAGCAGGAAUUCCCCAGGUUUGAUGACAUCAUUCUGCUCGCUGUCCCAGUACUGAGGGUCCUGGAAGCCUUGCUUUUCCUCCUGCGGUCAGGCAGAGAAUGGUGGAGUCACCCCAGAGCUAGGAUUUGCACACCAACUGGAGUGUCUCCUCCUGAGUACUCAGCCUACGAUCCCAAGGGACUGAGUUGGCUCCAGUGCAGUGUACACGGAAGUGGCACUUGCUAUUUGGGGCUUGGCCUCAGAACUAUCCUGGAUGAGGGUCGGAGCUUACCGUAUGGUCAGAUCUGUCUUCGCAUAGCCAUCGUACUGUGUACUCCUCUGCAGUGCAUGCAUAUCCAGUUCAGGACUGCCACAAACCAGGAUUUCAACUUCUUCUGGACGAAGCAGCUGUCAAUAGUCAUAAAAACCAUAAUUAAAAGUGAUAGUCUUGCCAGGCAGUGGUGGCACACGCCUUUAAUCCCAGCACUUGGAAGGCAGAGGCAGGCGGAUUUCUGAGUUCAAGGCCAGCCUUGAACUACAGAGUGAGUUCCAGGACAGUCAGGGCUACACAGAGAAACCCUGUCUCGAAAAACCCAAAACCCAAACAAACAAACAAACAAACAACAACAAAAAAAG